UACGUAGGGGGCUAGCGUUGUCCGGAAUCAUUGGGCGUAAAGAGCUCGUAGGCGGUUUGUCGCGUCGGCCGUGAAAUCUCCACGCUUAACGUGGAGCGUGCGGUCGAUACGGGCAGACUUGAGUUCGGUAGGGGAGACUGGAAUUCCUGGUGUAGCGGUGAAAUGCGCAGAUAUCAGGAAGAACACCCGUGGCGAAGGCGGCUCUCUGGGACGGUACUGACGCUGAGACGCGAAAGCGUGGGGAGCGAACAGG
rnacentral:rRNA from 1 species